GCCUCUAUCAACGUGACUCAAGCCUCUGACAUCUCUGAGAAGCUUGCUUCCAGUCAAAGCAACAACUCCAUGAUGCCCAUUCAUCACAAUCAAAAUGUUUCACAAACAUCGCCAAGUAAAGGCUGCAGGAAACACUAUAAGGCCGUUGGACUACAAUUGCUUAAGGCAAUCUCAAAUUACAAGGAUGUUAAAGAAGUAAGCCGAGAGUCGGAUCAGGUGAACGCCAAGGCAUCAUCAGGAACUGACCCCAAAGCAGUCGGGGCUGCUUUGGAUGCCAACGAUUUAGCCGCGCUGAAUAAUGUUUUAACUGGACAACAGCAUAAUGGACAAGAAACUGACUAUAACGAAUGUAUGCCUUGAUAAUAAAACCUUUUAAUUUAUA